UAGAGGAAGUAAAAGUCGUAACAAGGUUUCCGUAGGUGAACCUGCGGAAGGAUCAUUAUUGAAAUAAACCUGAUGGGUUGCUGCUGGCUCUCUAGGGAGCAUGUGCACACUUGUCAUCUUUAUAUCUCCACCUGUGCACCUUUUGUAGACCUGGAUAUCUCUCUGAGUGCUUUAGCACUUCAGGUUUGAGGAUUGACUUUAUUGUUCUCUCUUUAUAUUUCUAGGUCUAUGUUUUUCAUAUACCCUAUUGUAUGUUAUAGAAUGUAGUCAAUAGGCCUUUGUGCCUAUAUACCUAUACAACUUUCAGCAACGGAUCUCUUGGCUCUCGCAUCGAUGAAGAACGCAGCGAAAUGCGUUAAGUAAUGUGAAUUGCAGAAUUCAGUGAAUCAUCGAAUCUUUGAACGCACCUUGCGCUCCUUGGUAUUCCGAGGAGCAUGCCUGUUUGAGUGUCAUUAAUAUAUCAACCUCUUCAACUUUUGUUGAUUGUUGGAUGUGGGGGUAUUCUUUUUUGCUGGUCUCUCUCUGAGUUCAGCUCCCCUGAAAUACAUUAGCGGAACAAUUUGUUCAUUGGCAUGAUAAUUAUCUAUGCUAUUGACAUGAAGCAGUUCAGCUUAUAACAGUCUAUUGACUUGGACAAAUUUAUUAUUAAUGUGACCUCAAAU
rnacentral:rRNA from 1 species